GACCGGAAGCGGUCCCACCACACAAGCGAUACUUGGCAGAGGUACCCAGGGAGCUAUGCUACAUCUUUCACCCAGGUUCUCUGUGUGUCUCUCCCCUGAGCCCCUUUAUGUGUCUCUUCUCCCUGUUUGUGUGUCUUUUACUCCACCCACAGCACCUGUGUGCAUCCUUUACUUCUCCCAGCUGAUCUGUCUCUUUUCUCCUGUCCCCUUUGUGUCUCUUCUUC